ensembl:lincRNA
AUGUGUUGCAAAACUUCUGCUACACCUGGUUUUCACUGGAAAGGACAUCAGAAGUGCACUGAAAAGCUGGUCCAGUUCUGCUCCAAUCGUGAGGGCGGACAGCUGAGCAGAACAAAACCGAAAUUAGAAGCCUUGCCACUCACCAGAGCAUACCUGUGCUAUCCGGCCCUCUCUGUAGGACUCUGUGGUUCAGACAAUGUUAAAUUCUGUUUUGGAGCUGAGUACGUAGCUUGAGUUAGAAUUGAGAGAGGCUCCAGAAUUUGGAUGUUGUCUACAAAUGAUCUGAAGACCCUUCUCUUACAAUAGUCUUAAAUCGACUUUGAUCUUUUAGUGUUCUUUGGGUUAAACCUGACAGGAUUACUCAUGUCCAAAGUUUGUGUUCUGUCCCUUUGAGUGAAUAAAUUAAAAUCUUGGGCGUGAACCAAAUUUAAAUCAGCCUUCUAGAGAUUUUGAAGACCUUUCAAGGAAUUUGCAACAUGGCCUUUUCCCUCAAUAUUGUCUCUUUACCAUCCCAAUUUCUUGGCAACUUUAUUUCUGAUUUUCUGAAUUGCUCUGGUUAUUUGCCCAGAAAACAGUGGAUGAGGGACCACAGGAAAGAACUUUAUAUCUCUCGAGAGGGGAAAGGUUAAUUUUUAUUUCUAAAUGCACUGGUGGCAUGCAUUCUUGGAUGCCUUGGCCUCCGGGAGAGCAUGGUGUGUGGAACUGUGGCUGGUGUGUGUAGUUCCACGUGGGUGCGGUUGGUUGUGCAGAGCUCCCUGUUCACAGCAGCUUCCUGGGUCUUCCAACACCAAGGUGAAUGAAUAAAAGAUCAGUUUGAAGCUCCUGACUCACAUUCUUUACAUUAAACAUUGGUAACUACUUUUUCUUUUGAUCCCUCCUGUAGGUUAUUCUGGAUUUUAAGCCUCUAGUUGUGAGAUAAUAUUAACUGAAAUUCCUAAUGUUUGCCAAACCUACUCACAACUCUUGCUUAAGAUCAUUUCAACAUGAACCAUUUGUCUUUUAGCCGGUCUGAAAAUAUAUUGCAGAAAUGUUGCUGUAAUGGAUUUUUUGGAGUUGAAUCUUUGGGUAUGGGAUUUGUGCUUUGAGUUCACCCUCUGAUUUAUGUAUCCUGUGGUCAUCAUAACUCAGAUUUGCAAAUCUAGAUCCUACUGGGACUGUGCAACUUUUGUGCCUGACUUGACUGAAUAUUUAAAUGUAAGAAAGCUACAAAAGCAGAUGGAUUGGAAAAGGAGAUUGCCCUGUUUUGAGGUCAUGUGUGAAGCCAAGAAAUUGCUGGAACAGCUUUGACAGGGAUUUCAGGAAAACAGGCUUGUAAUAUUUCCACUUCUCUCAGUUUACAGUCUGGCUGAAAAUGCAGUAAGAUCAGCCUUUUCCAAAGAUGUUGGUAUUUCUGCAGCUGCUUUCAGAAUGCCUUGAAAAUGAAAAGCAAAGGAGUCCACAGAAUCUCAAGUAUCCGUGCCCCAAUCGCUAAGGCUUUUGGAUGAUCUAAGUGGAAAAGAGCUGAAGGUGUGCAUGACAUAGUACAUGUGUGGAAACUGCCCUUGCAGAUGUGACAUAUGUUGAUGGCACCUGAAGGCUCGGAUAGAAUAUCAGCUCUAUAGCAAGCGCAACAAAUAGUCCUUUAUAGGAACUCUGCACAUUAUACUUCUACUUUCUAUUAUUUUAGAUUCUCUCUUGUUCUAGUCACCUGAGUCAGGUCAUCUGUCUUGGUCAGUAAGCAUCUCAAACUUUUCCAAUUGUGUCCAGUCAGACCAGUGUCUGACUACUACUACUAUGUCACUUACUAUUCUUUUUUUUUUUUUUUUUUUUUUUUUUCCAGUACCAGGAAGUGAACUCACGACCUUGGGCUUGCCAGGCAGGCACUGUGCCGCUGAGCUAAAUCCCCAGCCCCACUUACUAUUCUUAAUGAGAACAAAAUGUAUUGGUGCCUAAAACAUUUGUAAUGAAUCUUUCUAGUAUUAUUGUUUCUGUUCUAGAGAAAAAGAGACUGGGUUUCUUUGAUAUGAUUUGUGCAUAUUAUAUGAACGAACUGCAUUACCAUGAGGACUACAGAACAGUGUAUUUUAUGUUGUCAGCUACCAACUAGCAAGCUGUCCAUGUAUGCAAUAAGGAAAUUUAAAACAAUGGAAAGGAAUGGGUUGUAUCAAUGAUUGUUAAAUAUUUUUGAGCAGUGAACCUUGUGUAAUAGCUCAACACUAUAGACUACAAAUUCUAUUCUAUUUGCAUUAAUUUGUUUUACAUGUUUAGUUUCUAAUCACUACCUUUUUUUAGUUAUUUAGUAAUAUGAACAAAGUCAAAUAUCUGAAAUAUGAAUUUACAGAUGUCAGUGGGAGCCUCAGCAUUCGUUAAUUUUAUUUGGUUACCCAGCAUCAAAAAAAAAUUGAUUUACAGAUAAAUUCUUGCAAAUAGGUAUAAUUUUCAUAGCAACUAAGCCUACUCAGAAUAUUCUCCCAUUAGGUUUACCCAGACACUUGAAAAAUUAUUAUUAGGAAGUUUUAGAUCUGGUUUGAAUCAUUGUAUAACUACACCUAAAAUUGCUCAUGUUCCCCGUCCUCUCUUAAAUCCAGUCGCAUCACCAUCUGCUCAGUCUGUGCUUGUUAAAGUCUCUGGAGCCCCGUGAGCCAAAUCUGCUGUAAGUUCUAGUCCUAUUUCCUGGGACAUUCUUCAUCGUGCCCUCCUUCACCUGCUUUCCAGGUCUCUACGGUACUCUCUUCGGGCUUUCUCCCACCUUUUGGGCCACUUCUCAGUUUCCUUUCUAUUCUCUCCUUGUGUUCCUGACUAUUGCAGACUCCUAAUCAGCAUUUUUCAACCAUGGCUUCUCAUCCCAACCACAGAACACAGAUGUUUGCUUUGUUCUAAUAUGUAGUCCUUUGUACUCCAUAACUAGCCCUCUGUCUUGGUACUUGUUUAUCUGCCUAUCCAUCAGCCCCUCCCUCAGUCUUAUCCAUUUCCCAGCACCUGUAGAUAUGCCCCAAAUUCCAAGCUGAAGCCUGGGUUCUACCAGUGGUUGACAGACUUCCUUGAAGUUUAGGGUCUGCGUUUUCUG